rnacentral:rRNA from 1 species
AGUGAACGCUGGCGGUAGGCCUAACACAUGCAAGUCGAACGGCAGCACAGUAAGAGCUUGCUCUUACGGGUGGCGAGUGGCGGACGAGUGAGGAAUACAUCGGAAUCUACUUUUUCGUGGGGGAUAACGUAGGGAAACUUACGCUAAUACCGCAUACGACCUACGGGUGAAAGCAGGGGAUCUUCGGACCUUGCGCGAUUGAAUGAGCCGAUGUCGGAUUAGCUAGUUGGCGGGGUAAAGGCCCACCAAGGCGACGAUCCGUAGCUGGUCUGAGAGGAUGAUCCGCCACACUGGAACUGAGACACGGUCCCAACUCCUACGGGAGGCCGCCGUGGGGAAUAUUGGACAAUGGGCGCAAGCCUGAUCCAGCCAUACCGCGUGGGUGAAGAAGGCCUUCGGGUUGUAAAGCCCUUUUGUUGGGAAAGAAAAGCAGCAGGUUAAUACCCCGCUGUUCUGACGGUACCCAAAGAAUAAGCACCGGCUAACUUCGUG